rnacentral:lncRNA from 1 species
CACAACAUAGGAGAUUAUGAUUGUAGUGAGGGGUUUUGUGGCUACGAAAUUGAGGGAGAUUGCGGAGUCUAUGAAAAUAGCCAUGAUCAAAACUUGGGCAGAUUUAAGGGACAUGGUUUUAGGGGAGAAAAUGAGGGGAAUGAAGUACCUAGAGCUUAUGGUGAAUUUUGAGAUGAUGUAGGACCUCGUGAUGGUUGUUAUGAUGAAGAUGGU